AUACGUAAGGGGCAAGCGUUGUCCGGAAUCAUUGGGCGUAAAGGGUGCGCAGGCGGUCUGACAAGUUAGAGGUGAAAUCCAUCGGCUCAACCGGUGAACUGCCUUUAAAACUGUUAGACUUGAGAACAAGAGAAGAAAACGGAAUUCCUAGUGUAGUGGUGAAAUACGUAGAUAUUAGGAAGAACACCAAUGGCGAAAGCAGUUUUCUGGCUUGAUUCUGACGCUGAGGCACGAAAGCUAGGGGAGCAAACGGGAUUAGAUACCCCGGUAGUCCUAGCCGUAAACGAUGGAUACUAAGUGUUGGGGGUUCAACUCCCUCGGUGCUGCAGUUAACGCAUUAAGUAUCCCGCCUGGGGAUUACGACCGCAAGGUUGAA
rnacentral:rRNA from 1 species